CCUUAUCAUUUAGAGGAAGGAGAAGUCGUAACAAGGUUUCCGUAGGUGACCUGCGGAAGGAUCAUUGUCGAAACCUGCGCAAGCAGACAGACCCGCGAACACGUUCUUAAAACAACGAACCCAACCCCGGCGCGGAUUGCGCCAAGGACCACGAACAAAGGCGCCCCCCGCGCGGCCCGGUCCUCCGGAGCCCGCUCGGCGGCGGCGCGUCGUUUACUAUUAACAAAAACGACUCUCGGCAACGGAUAUCUCGGCUCUCGCAUCGAUGAAGAACGUAGCGAAAUGCGAUACUUGGUGUGAAUUGCAGAAUCCCGUGAACCAUCGAGUCUUUGAACGCAAGUUGCGCCCGAAGCCUUCUGGCCGAGGGCACGUCUGUCUGGGCGUCACGCACCGCGUCGCCCCACUCCCAGCGGGAGGGGCGGAGAUUGGCCCCCCGUGCGCUCCGCGCGCGGUCGGCCUAAAAGCAGACCCCGCGGCCGAAUAGAAUCGGCGCGACGAUUGGUGGCGUAAACAUGGCAUCGCGUCGCGCCCUCUGCGGCCAACGGAAAGUCUAGGAAACACUCACGCGGACCCUCGGGUCCGCCGUUGCGACCCCAGAUCAGGCGGGACUACCCGCUGAGUUUAAGCAUAUCAAUAAGCCGGAGGAA
rnacentral:rRNA from 1 species